UUUAAUGGCCGCAGUAUUUUAACUGUGCAAAGGUAGCAUAAUCAUUAGUCUUUUAAUUGAAGGCUUGUAUGAAUGGUUGGACGAGAUAUUAACUGUUUCAUUUUAAUUUUUUUUUGAAUUUAAUUUUUUAGUUAAAAAGCUAAAAUUUAUUUAAAAGACGAGAAGACCCUAUAAAUCUUUAUAUUGGAAUUAUUAUUAUUAUUUAGAUUUAUUUUAUAAUAAUAAUUAAUAAUAUUUUAUUGGGGUGAUAUUAAAAUUUAUAAAACUUUUAACUUUUAAUUACAUUAAUUUAUGAAUAAAUGAUCUGUUUUUAACGAUUAAAAAUAUAAGUUACUUUAGGGAUAACAGCGUAAUUUUUUUGGAGAGUUCUUAUCGAUAAAAAAGAUUGCGACCUCGAUGUUGGAUUAAGAAAUAAUUUUAGGUGUAGUAGCUUAAAUUUUAAGUCUGUUCG
rnacentral:rRNA from 1 species